CAUGAAAAAAAAGAACUUAACUCGUGUUUUUCCUCGCCGACACGCUUUCUGUCUUCUUUUUUUAUCGGGGUCCGUUGCCCUUCAGCGGCGGCCAUUCCCACUGAAGCAGCAGAAAUCAACGACUCACCACCCUCUCGCGGCAUCAGGCGCGCAAUCCUGUUUCUUGGUUCGAGAGGAGGCCCCGCUGCGUCGAGGAGCGAAAAGAAGGCGCACAACGCUUGCUGGCCUUAUGCCCCACACAGAUUCCUCUCCUCAUUUUCCGAUGGAGGCACCAAUGGACGCGCUCUCUGCACCACCGCCGGACUUCACAGUAGUUCCAGAGAGCUCGCAGCGUGGUGUCGCGGCCGCCGCAGCAACGCAUGCAGGCCACAGCGAGGUGCAGCCACUUGAUGUGCGCAUUGUGCCGCUGCUCUUUGUCGUCACGUACUGGUGUGGGCUGAUGCUCGUGUACGCCUUCAUGGCGUACGUGAUAGCCAUGUCCGCCACAUGGCGCGGCCCCGUGAUUGUGUGGGCCCUACUGAUACCGACUGCUGCCUUUUCCCUUUGGCGGCGCCUGCCAUCGGAGAGGCGCUUUGUGGAGACGAAGAGCGCUGAGGUCAUUCUGCUCCGGUGUGGCGGCUUCUACGCUCUUGCGGGAUCGGACUCUUCGUGCGGCCACGCGGAUGAAAUGCCGGAGGCUCAACGCCACCAUCGGCAGUUGCCCCACCCGGUUCGCUGACGCUUGCACCACCGAUGGCGGGGCAACUACCGACACCAUUGUGGCGCGCCUGUAGCUGGUUACCAACUUCCCCAGCUCUCCUGCUCGCUCUACGAAUACUCGGCGCUGCCCACACUCAGUAUGCGUCUGUACAUGUGCGUGUGCUGGGAUGUACAUGUAUGUGUCUAUAUACAGAUGCGUACGUGCGUGUGUGCGGACGAGGGUGUCUUCUCUUUGUUUACUGCUUUCGCUAUCCUUCUCGUUUUUUUUUUCUCUCUGUGUUUGCCGUCCAAACACGCUUUCACACCUUCGCCCACACAUCCCUCACCCACUCUAACCAGCACAGGUGGUGCAGUCACCACAUUUGUGCGUGUGUUGCUCUCUCCGUCUUCGUCCCCUCUCCUCGUCUUGUACUCCCUUUUCUGCUAAUUCUCCUAUUUCUGCCUUUGGUGUCCGCUCUUCUCGGCAUCUUUCCGCCUCUCCUUCGAUUUUAUAACUCUCUCUCUCCUGAGGGGUGCAUCGAAAUCGCGCACUCAGGUGUGCGUGUGUGCAUGUUCGUGCCACCAUUGAUAAGCACACUCUGCCUACCCUUCUGCGAUGCCGAUGAUCACCCACUCGGUCCAAGUAAC
rnacentral:misc_RNA from 1 species